AUUAGUCCUGGGCUGGCCUUCAAUACUGCAAACACAUUCUGUGUGGCCACAAGGGAGGACUGCAUAGAAUUCUUGGACCAACUACGAAGCUUUGGGGGCCUGACAAGCUGAGAAAGUGCGAGAAAAAAUGACACAGCAGUCUAGCUGUGACAACUUCAUUAUGAAGAAUGUUCGCUUUCUCAGUUCAUAACAGCGGCCAUUCUACAAGCAAAGUUUAAAAGACCCUCUCAUCAAAUCCGACCAGACUUGCCGCAAGCAGGCCAGCCCAUGGAAGCCAGUGGCUUGAUGCUCAACUUCAGCUGCUGGCAGAAAGGAGAAAAAGACAUCACCCAUCCGAAAAAUUUUAAUCCCCCAGCAAAAUACAAUACUCAAUUUUUCAUUAACCUUCUGACACCUGGACUCACAGAGUAUCCCCACACUAAUCACUAAUGGGUUUUGCAUUACCAAUUAGUGUAGCAAAUUCUCCAGCAUUGGUGCCAAAGGGUUAAUCAUUAGUUUCACACCACUGGGUGGUCAGAGUUAGAAGAGCAGCCCCUGAACCCAAAAGAGUGGAGAGUGAGGGGCUGGGGGGUGGAGAGAGCUCUCAUUAUCAAGAAGAAACAUGCAGCUCGUAGGCAUUGACCUCCAUAUCUCUCUCCUGGCAUCUUGCCUCAAGGUGGAUUUAAGUAUUAUACAAGUAUGCACGUGUGCACACACAUGCAUACAUGUUUAGACACAGUUCUGGGCCCAGAACAAAUCACCAACCUAGCCAGUUUCUAUUGAGUCUGUCCCAUCAAAGGUAGAUCAGGCCAGAGGAAUUCUCUC